GACCCAUUAGCUCAGUUGGUUUAGAACGUCGUGCCAAUAACGCGAAGGUCACGGGUUCGAUCCCCUCAUGGGCCA